UCAACUCUCGCAUAUCUCUCUUCCCGUGGACGCACUAGGACCGAGUCACCAUCGUAGAGAGGCUCGCAACGAGCCCAGGACCCCUCUGCCCGCAAGUUCGACGGCACGGAGCAAAGCUCCGGUGAACUCCCUCCCUCUUUUUCCGUUAGGUAAGUCGAAUAUCACCUUCUCGUUGUUAGAUUGUUGCUUGGUUGUGUUUUAGGAGCUUGAACCUUCCCUUUUUACGUAGGUUUUGCUUCGGAAAUCGUUGUGGGUGAGCACACCCGUUUUCCGGCGAACCGUGGACUUUGGAAGCUUUUUCCGGUCACCUCCGACCGAGUCACGGAUUUUAGAAGGCAGAAACCUCUUCCUUUCUCCCUGUUCUUCAUGGUUAUACUUAGAUCGGAGCCCAAAACCCAUUUUUUCCUGUGACCGGAGCUGUAGCAGCUCCGGCCUUCUUCUUCCUCAGCACCAGGCCAUCCGGCCUUCCCCUUUUCCCCCUCGGGCCUUAAGCCCGUUAGACCCCAGCCCAUUUCUUUUAUUUUUGUUAGUUUAUUUCAAAACCCCAAAAAAGGGCCUUGGGCCGGUGACAUUUAAAGGGGCUUAAAGCCCUGUUUGUUUUGUGAGGCCUUAAGGCUUUGUGCCCGUGUGUGUGUGUGUGUGUAUGUUUAGGCGUGUGUGUGUGUGUGUGUGUUUAUGCAUGCACAUGCAUGACGUGCAUGUGUGUAUGUUUGGGCUUAAGCCCAAACCCUAUUUCCUUCAUCCUAAAUCAUUUUUAACCCAAAAACCUUAGGUUCCUAAAACCUAUUAAAAUCCUAAACCCAUCCAAUCCCAAAUUCCCUAUUUUAUUUAAUUCAAACCCAAUCUUUUAGAAAAUCCUUUUUAUUUAUUUAUUACAUUUUUUUUGUGCUUAGGUAAAGUUGCUAUUAAGGAAAUUCGUAAUCCUGAUCCGUGCAAUUCUUCUGCUAAGAAAUAUUUGCGAGUGGACUCUUUCUAAAAUUACAUGAUUUUAUAAAUUAAUUGCAUAAAUGAUUAGCAUGCCUACGAAUUUAUGAAUUGAUUUAUGUUAAGCCUGUUUAUGGAAUUUAUUGAUUUCGUCUCGUGUUUUUUGUGAGGAAUUAAACGUUAGCCUAUUUUGAGCUAUAUUUUAAUAUAUCGUAUUUUCUAUAAAAAUCACGAUCUGGUAGACUAUCUGAUGGAUGACGUGCUAGAACGUGUUUUAGAAACCCUUCUUUAUAGUAUAGACGAUUGAUGACUUUAUACUAUGAAGUGGUUAUUUAUGAGAGACGUAACUAUUUGUGCGUACCUAGAGGACACUAUGUCGCCUGGGACGAGGAUCUGGUGUUGGCAUUUAGGCCGGGAGAAAUAAUCCCUAGCUACGGGCUGAGGGACAUGGAGCAUGUAUUGGGCCGGUAGUUGGUAAUCUCUGGCUACGGGCGCAGAGACCACGGAGCAGGCAUUGGCCCGGGAGUUAUAUUUAUUCGAUGAUCUUUCUAGCAGCACACCGCGUUUACGAGACGAUCUAUUAUACGUUUACUGUUUUGAUUUCCGCGAUGUUGUCCCGCGAUAUGACUUUUGGAGAUAUUUUUGGCAUGCUAGGAUUUUUAUUAAAUCCAUCACUUAUUAUGUUAGUAGUUUUCAUUAUAUAAACUAUGGGGGUUAGUACAUUAAUAAUUGUUUUAUUAUUAUUUUAUAUAUAUAUAUGAACUUGGUCCACUCACCUUUGUUUUGCGUCCUCAUUCAAGACUUAAGAUCAAGGCACCUAAUCCCGGCGUCAAAAUACUUCCGCAGCAGCAUCUUUGAAUCCUCUAGAUGUAGGACCCACUUCUUUAUUCAUUCAAUUUUAUCUUAAUUCUUUUAGUGAUUAGGUUUAGUUGUAUGUUCUGAACACGUUCCUAAAAUAUUAAUCCAUUGUAUUUUAAAUUUCUAACUCUUAUUUAUUUCUUAUUCUUAGCUUUUGUAUCAAUUAAUGGCUUUCGUCACCCUCAGGUGUCGGCCAGCACGUGUCUAUCCUGGUAUUCGGGAAAUAUCAGAGUUGGGGCGUGUCAUAUGACGACCUAAAUAAUAAAAGAGUUAAAUGUAUGUUCGGACAUGGGUGUAUGUACAAAGUGUGGCGGGUGAGGGUAAUAGUGGAAUGCGGGUGAGGGUAAUAGUGGAAUGCAUACAGAGUGUAUUAAGAUAAUUAAAAUUUAAAAAGUAAAUACGGAGAGUAUUAAGUAAGUGGAGUGUAGCCAACAAAAUGUAAGAUAUUAAUAAAACAACUUGUUAAUUGUAAGACUAAUUCGUCAAUGACUCAUCUUUCAAUCCACCCAUAAUAAUAAAAGUGUUAAAUGUAUGUUUGGACAUGGGUGUAGUUAUAUUACUUAGAGCGAAUGUGCUUUCUUUAUGUAUUUAAAUUCAAAUUACACAGUUUGAAUUGUAAUAUGCUUCAAAUUUUUGUUCAAGUUUUGUAUUCGUCUGUGUUUGUGCACACAUGAGGAGAAGAAGCUGGGAAUAGUUCGGUGUUUCUUCCAUUAAUCUUCCCGAUUUAUGUUGUUUUUCAAUAGAUUAUGGUUUCAAAGGUCAUCUAUUGCUAAAAGGUCUUUCUCUAAGUAGAAAUUUGAAAUACGCUCUGAUAAUUAAGAGGAAUGUACGAUUUUUAAACCUUUGUGGUUUAAGUUCACAUGUUUGAAUAGACUAACGUCAAAUUAGAUUAGUGAGAUUAAGAUUGUUAACACAAUAAAACAUAUCCAGUGUUCUAAAAAUCUCCGCCUAAAGCCACCUAGGCAUUAGGUGGCUGACCACCGCUACGAUUAAUCCUUAAGCAUUGAAAAAAAAUUAAGAAAAGGCGCUUAGACCUACUUAGGCACCAAGACCUGCCUAGGCGUCCGCCUAGGUCAAAGUCUCGCUUAAACAGAAAAUAGAUAACUUUCAUUUUGCGUUUUAUUUUAUUCAAUAAAUUGUUAAAAAGUUGUUGGAUACUUGGAUGAACACUCAUUAUAUGUUUGUUCCCAUGUUUUCAAUAUAUUCUAGUACUUUAUAAUUUAUAUGUCAUUGGAUUGCGAAAAUGUCAUCUACAUCUAUUGCGAAGAGGUCUUUCUCUAAGUAGAAAUGUGAAAUACGCUCCGAUAAUUUAGAGGAAUGUACGAUUUUUAAACCUGUGUGGUUUAUGUUCACACGUCUGACUAGACGAAUGUCAAAUUAGAUUAGUUAGAUUAAGAUUGUUAACACGAUAAAACAUAUCUAGUGUUCUAACAGUCUCCGCCUAAAGCCGCCUAGGCGUUAGGCAGCUGGCCACCGUUACCAUUAAUCCCUAAGCGUUUAAAAAAUAAGAAAAGACGCUUAGACCUACUUAGGCACCUAAACCUGUCUAGGCAUCCGCCUAGGUUAGAGUACUCUCACUUAGACAGAAAAUAGAUA
rnacentral:lncRNA from 1 species